UACAGAGGGGGCAAGCGUUGUUCGGAAUUACUGGGCGUAAAGGGCGCGUAGGCGGCCCUCUAAGUCAGACGUGAAAUCCCUCGGCUUAACCGGGGAACUGCGUCUGAUACUGGAUGGCUUGAGUUUGGGAGAGGGACGCGGAAUUCCAGGUGUAGCGGUGAAAUGCGUAGAUAUCUGGAGGAACACCGGUGGCGAAGGCGGCGUCCUGGACCAACACUGACACUGAGGAGCGAAAGCCAGGGGAGCAAACGGG
rnacentral:rRNA from 1 species